rnacentral:rRNA from 1 species
UACGGAGGGUGCAAGCGUUAAUCGGAAUUACUGGGCGUAAAGGGCGCGUAGGCGGCCUCCUAAGUCAGACGUGAAAUCCCCCGGCUUAACCUGGGAACUGCGUCUGAUACUGGGAGGCUAGAGUGCGGGAGAGGGAUGUGGAAUUCCAGGUGUAGCGGUGAAAUGCGUAGAUAUCUGGAGGAACACCGGUGGCGAAGGCGGCAUCCUGGACCGGUAUUGACGCUGAGGAGCGAAAGCCAGGGGAGCAAACGGG